rnacentral:rRNA from 1 species
GAUUCUGGCUCAGGAUGAACGCUAGCUACAGGCUUAACACAUGCAAGUCGAGGGGCAGCAUGGUCUUAGCUUGCUAAGGCCGAUGGCGACCGGCGCACGGGUGAGUAACACGUAUCCAACCUGCCGUCUACUCUUGGACAGCCUUCUGAAAGGAAGAUUAAUACAAGAUGGCAUCAUGAGUUCACAUGUUCACAUGAUUAAAGGUAUUCCGGUAGACGAUGGGGA